rnacentral:tRNA from 1 species
GCGCCCGUAGCUCAGCUGGAUAGAGCGCUUGCCUCCGGAGCAAGAGGUCGUGAGUUCGAAUCUCUCCGGGCGUACCA